AUGAAUAGGAGUAUUAAAGAAUUAAAAGAAAAUGAUGCGGUACAAGGUUUUAGUAAAUGUUGAGGAUGCUACUGGAAGUGCUAGAUUUGUUUUGUAUGAUCGUUCCGCAGCGCUCUUAUUCA